GACGAACGCUGGCGGCGUGCCUAAUACAUGCAAGUCGAACGCAGUGGGGACGGGUGAGUAACACGUGGGUAACCUCCCAUCAGAGGGGAUAACACUUGGAAACAGGUGCUAAACCGAUACUGAUGGAUGGACCCGGUGUGCAUUAGCUAGUUGGUGGGGUAACGGCUCACCAAGGCCACGAUGCAUAGACGACCUGCGCUGGUGAUGGGCCACACUGGCACUGAGACCCGGUCCCGACUCCUACGUGAUGCAGCAGUAGUGAAUCUUUGGAAAUGGACGAAAGUCUGACCGGUCAACGCCGCGGGAGUGAAGAAGGUUUUCGGAUCGUAAAACUCUGUUGUUAGAGAAGCGGUAUCUAACCAGAAAGCCACGGCUAACUACGUGCCAGCAGCCGCGGUAAUUC
rnacentral:rRNA from 1 species